GUAGCAAAAGCCCGCCACCUGAGAAUUCAAAAUUUUCAAACUUUGAGGCGUCCUCCCGUUUAACAUAAACGUUACGGCAAGCGCACAAUCACACCACAAUGAUUAUACAGCCGCCUCUAUCGUCGGCCGACGAAGAGCAAUUGAUGGCCGCCUGAGGACCACCACCUCUCUAGCUGUAUCGUGUCUCUCUACCUCUCUUUAUCGAUCAGCAUCGACUUUUUCUAUCUCUCAAUCGAGUUUGUCUGUGGCAAUUCGUCGGGAUGUUGCGAUGAUGGAGCCACCUGAGAGGAUGACGUCCGAUAACAACAGAGUCCACAACCGGUGGUCGGACCACUUCCAUCGAUUUCCCUCUCUUGCUCUCACUCUGUCUACCUCUCUCUCAUUUUCUGUUAUUGCGGGAUAUUGGCGGAAACACCACCUAUGGUCGUAUCGGAUGAAGUUACGACGGUGGUUUAUGGAGGUGUUAGGUUUCUGGUGGUGGGUAAAGAAGGUGUUAUGUUUCUGGCAGUAGUGGGUAAUAAUAAUAUUGUAGUUGAAUGAUGUAAAUUUUAAAGAUCAAAACAAAAUUAUUUUUGAAUUUUGAUA